rnacentral:rRNA from 1 species
GAUGAACGCUGGCGGCGUGCCUAAUACAUGCAAGUCGAGCGAACAGACGAGGAGCUUGCUCCUCUGACGUUAGCGGCGGACGGGUGAGUAACACGUGGAUAACCUACCUAUAAGACUGGGAUAACUUCGGGAAACCGGAGCUAAUACCGGAUAAUAUAUUGAACCGCAUGGUUCAAUAGUGAAAGACGGUUUUGCUGUCACUUAUAGAUGGAUCCGCGCCGCAUUAGCUAGUUGGUAAGGUAACGGCUUACCAAGGCAACGAUGCGUAGCCGACCUGAGAGGGUGAUAGCCCACACGGGAACUUGGACACGCUCCAGGCUCCUACGGGAGGCAGCAGUAUGGAAUCUUCCGCAAUGGGCGAAAGCCUGACGGAGCAACGCCGCGUGAGUGAUGAAGGUCUUCGGAUCGUAAUACUCUGUUAUUAGGGAAGAACAAAUGUGUAAGUAACUAUGCACGUCUUGACGGUACCUAGUCAGAAAGCCACGGCUAACUACGUG